rnacentral:lncRNA from 1 species
AAUGGUGAUAACUUAACUCAUUCGCCCCUAAGAGAUUUCUGGAAAAUCAGGCAUUUUCGAAAAUUUGCAAUCAUAUGCAAAUUAUAUGCAAAUUAGCAGACUCUUGAUGCUGUAACUGCUGCUCAUCUAUUAAACUAUGUAUUGCAAUUUGGGGGUGGAUGGCAUGGGUGGGGGGUGGGUGGCAGGUGGAAGAUUUUCUCGUGGGUUUGAACCCACCCCCACUGAAAAAUGGUCAUUUUCCGUCUAUUUUCCGAUUUUAAAACGACCUUGAGAGGUGAACAUUAACCAGACUGUGUUUCUUUAUCAUUCAAGUAUUACCCUAUAGUUACAGCAGUCCAUGCAUGCUAACUGGGAGUAUAUGGGACUUAAGUGUCUUGCUG